AACGAACGCUGGCGGCAUGCCUAACACAUGCAAGUCGAACGAGACCUUCGGGUCUAGUGGCGCACGGGUGCGUAACGCGUGGGAACCUGCCCUUAGGUUCGGAAUAACUCCCCGAAAGGGGUGCUAAUACCGGAUAAUGUCUUCGGACCAAAGAUUUAUCGCCUUUGGAUGAGCCCGCGUUGGAUUAGCUAGUUGGUAGGGUAAAAGCCUACCAAGGCGACGAUCCAUAGCUGGUCUGAGAGGAUGAUCAGCCACACUGGGACUGAGACACGGCCCAGACUCCUACGGGAGGCAGCAGUGGGGAAUAUUGGACAAUGGGCGAAAGCCUGAUCCAGCAAUGCCGCGUGAGUGAUGAAGGCCUUAGGGUUGUAAAGCUCUUUUACCCGGGAUGAUAAUGACAGUACCGGGAGAAUAAGCUCCGACUAACUCCGUG
rnacentral:rRNA from 1 species